rnacentral:pre_miRNA from 14 species
CUUGAGGACCCCGUUCUCUGCUUGGCCCAUUUUGGCACUAGCACAUUUUUGCUUUUGUACGUAUACUUUGAGCAAUUAUGUGUAGUGCCAAUAUGGGAGGAGAUGGACUCUGCGGCAAGAGUGU